GACCCAAUAGCACAGAUGGUUAGUGUGCCUGCCAAUGCUGGAUCGGUGUUCUCUUGACGCAGGAGACCCUCGUUCGAGUCGAGGUUGGGUCG